AUUGAACGCUGGCGGCAGGCCUAACACAUGCAAGUCGAGCGAGCGGCGGACGGGUGCGUAAUGUCUGGGAAACUGCCUGAUGGAGGGGGAUAACUGCUGGAAACGGUAGCUAAUCCCGCGUACCAUCAGCUGUGCCCAGAUGGGGUUAGCUAGUCGGUGGGGUAACGGCUCACCUAGUCGACGAUCCCUAGCUGGUCUGAGAGUAUGACCAGCCACACUGGAACUGAGACACGGUCCAGACUCCGACGGGAGGCAGCAGUGGGGAAUAUUGCACAAUGGGCGCAAGCCUGAUGCAGCCAGGCCGCGUGUGUGAAGAAGGCUUUCGGGUUGUAAAGCACUUUCAGCGGGGAGGCGUUACCCGAAGAAGAAGCACCGGCUAACUCCGUGCCAGCAGCCGCGGUAAUUC
rnacentral:rRNA from 1 species